GUAUUCCGCUCCAUAGCGUAUAUUAAAGUUAUUGCAGUUAAAAAGCUCGUAGUUGAAUUUCGGGGGUCUGUCCAUUGGUCGGGCUUCACGGUCCGUACUGGUAAGAUGGGUUCCUACCUUCUGAAUAACCAGCAUGCCAUUUAGUUGGUGCGCCGGGGAAGCAGAGCUAUUACCUUGAAAAAAUUAGAGUGCUUAAAGCAGGCUAGUGCUUGAAUAGAUUAGCAUGGAAUAAUAAAAUAGGACGGCAUGGUUCUAUUUUGUUAGUUUCUAGGAUCACCGUAAUGAUUAAUAGGGAUAGUUGGGGGCAUUAGUAUUCAAUUGUCAGAGGUGAAAUUCUUGGAUUUAUUGAAGACUAACUUCUGCGAAAGCAUUUGCCAAGGAUGUUUUCAUUAAUCAAGAACGAAAGUUAAGGGGAUCGAAGACGAUCAGAUACCGUCGUAGUCUUAACCAUAAACUAUGCCGACUAGGGAUCGGACGAUGUUAAUUUUUUAAUGACUCGUUCGGCGCCUUACGGGAAACA
rnacentral:rRNA from 1 species